AGAGUUUGAUCCUGGCUCAGGAUAAACGCUGGCGGCGUGCCUAAUACAUGCAAGUCGAACGAGAGAGACAAGCUUGCUUGUCGAACUUAGUGGCGAACGGGUGAGUAAUACAUAAGCAACUGCCCAUAAAGUCCGGGAUAACUUUGGGAAACUGGAAUUAAUACCGGAUAGGUAACGGAGCGCAUGUUUCUGUUAUUAAAGGUGAGAAACGCUAAUGGAUGGGCUUAUGGCGCAUUAGCUGUUGGUAAGGUAACGGCUUACCAAGGCGAUGAUGCGUAGCCGGCCUGAGAGGGUGAACGGCACAUUGGGACUGAGACACGGCCCAGACUCCUACGGGAGGCAGCAGUAGGGAAUUUUCGGAAUGGGCGAAAGCCUGACCGAGCAACGCCGCGUGAGUGCUAAGGAUUUCGGUCUGUAAAGUCUGUUGUAAGGGAAGAAUUGAUCAGAGAGGAUCUGAUAGUGACGGUACCUUACCAGAAACCACGGCUAACUACGUGCCAGCAGCCGCGGUAAUACGUAGGUGGCGAGCGUUAUCCGGAAUAUUGGGCGUAAAGGGUGCGUAGGCGGCACAAUAAGUUUAAGGUGAAAGCGUGGGGCUCACCCCAUAAAGCCUUAGAUACUGUUGAGCUAGAGUACUGGAGAGGGAAGUGGAAAUUCCAUUGUAGCGGUAAAAUGCGUA
rnacentral:rRNA from 1 species